GACGUAGGGCGCGAGCGUUGUCCGGAUUUAUUGGGCGUAAAGAGCUCGUAGGCGGCUUGUUGCGUCGACUGUGAAAACCCGCGGCUUAACUGCGGGCUUGCAGUUGAUACGGGCAGGCUAGAGUUCGGUAGGGGAGACUGGAAUUCCUGGUGUAGCGGUGAAAUGCGCAGAUAUCAGGAGGAACACCGGUGGCGAAGGCGGGUCUCUGGGCCGAUACUGACGCUGAGACGCGAAAGCUAGGGGAGCGAACAGG
rnacentral:rRNA from 1 species